AGAGUAGUUUUGGGUAUUUUGGGAAUAACUUCCCAUAUAUAAAAAAUAAGAAUGAAGUGCUGAGAGAGGAAGAAGGAAGGAGGGAGGAAGAGAGGAAGCCGAUCGUGAUACAAAUGGAAGCCCGCCGCUGUGCUGCUGCUGCCGUCCACCACUGCAUGGAAGCCUAAGCUCUUCACUAGGGCCGGAUGCAACCCUAAUAAAGGAACACGGGUUUUAUGUAUUUAAUUUUAUAUUCUUGGAGUUGUAUGAACUCAAUGCUUUUAAUGAGUAUUUUUUUUAUCUCA
rnacentral:lncRNA from 1 species